rnacentral:rRNA from 1 species
UGGGGAAUUUUGGACAAUGGGCGAAAGCCUGAUCCAGCAAUGCCGCGUGUGUGAAGAAGGCCUUCGGGUUGUAAAGCACUUUUGUCCGGAAAGAAAUCCUUGGCUCUAAUACAGUCGGGGGAUGACGGUACCGGAAGAAUAAGCACCGGCUAACUACGUGCCAGCAGCCGCGGUAAUACGUAGGGUGCAAGCGUUAAUCGGAAUUACUGGGCGUAAAGCGUGCGCAGGCGGUUUGCUAAGACCGAUGUGAAAUCCCCGGGCUCAACCUGGGAACUGCAUUGGUGACUGGCAGGCUAGAGUAUGGCAGAGGGGGGUAGAAUUCCACGUGUAGCAGUGAAAUGCGUAGAGAUGUGGAGGAAUACCGAUGGCGAAGGCAGCCCCCUGGGCCAAUACUGACGCUCAUGCACGAAAGCGUGGGGAGCAAACGGGAUUAGAUACCCUGGUAGUCCACGCCCUAAACGAUGUCAACUAGUUGUUGGGGAUUCAUUUUCCUUAGUAACGUAGCUAACGCGUGAAGUUGACCGCCU